GAGGCCGGCGGAGGAAGAGCUGGAGGAAGGAGGGGAAGCCGCCGCCGCCGCCGCCGCGCUCCGGGGACCUGGGCGCGCGCGCUGCGCUCUCCUGUGACGGUGCCUCCAGCCCCGGGCCCACAACCGAGAGCAGCAGGAGCUGCCGGAGACCCUGUGUCCUGCCUGGACCCCCGUCUCCCUGCGUGUCCUGGAAUGAGGAGGUGAUGCCCGCGACCCCCACAGGGAGGAAUCCACCCACCUGGGUUCUGCAGACAGGCCAGCUCACCGGCGGGCCCUGAGCUGAAGGACCGGCUGGACCGAUGGGGAAGCAGGCCGGACACGGGUGGACCGAGCGAGGCAGCUGGCCGUGAGGGAGGCGCUCCCCUCGCAGUGCGGGGCCAUGCGCCCGGGACGCCGC